AGGAGAAAGGGUCUGGAGAGAGGAACGGCUCAGUCGGGGAUAUGUGUAAAAGAACGAGUAGAAAGGUGGGUGUCCCUUAGAGAAACACUGAAUGUGUUCUCACAUGCUGAAGUUGCCAGUUUUUUGCUGGAUUUGUAAGUAAACUAACCUUAAAGCAGAGAUGUGUUUCAUGUUGGCGCUUGCCUUUUCGGUAGUUAAAUUUAAUCGGAUUUCUUUGGAUGGAUACAACAAAUAAAAAACCACGGAGGUGAUGCCUGCAAAGAAUCCCAAGUGAAACAAGACAUUAAUGGAAGCUCAGUGUUAAAAGCUGAAGAGGAUGUGUUGGAAACCUCUUCAGCCUGACUGCCGAAAGCUAUUAUUUUUCUACAUGGAUGCUUUAUUUGUUUUCACUUACUCUGAGUGCAAGUUUAGAUUCAUACUCCUCUGAUUGGAGGUUAUGUAGAGCACAUACCCUGGAACUAGAAUCCAGGAUUUCCUGCAUUCCCAGUUCCUGUGACUUUCUUUUUUUCACCCUUAUAAUAUUACCUUCUGGAGGCUACUUUGUUAUAAGACUAAUUUAGGUAGAUAGCCUAAGUGAGGAUCUCUUGGUGCUGUCAGAUGGCAAGCCACCAUAACUGCAGAAUUCUGGACUGAAUGCCUUUGCAAGCAAAAGAUAGGCAGCAUGCAUUGCGUUAACAGCUCCAGUUGGCUCUAGCACAGUGUACUUGCCAAAACUUUUUUAGGAUUCUGAGAAAGUAAUUUAUUACAAUAACUGUGUAGAUGUUGAAUUCAUGUAGUUUUUUUUUUCUUUUCAGUAGUUCUUUUUACUCCAGUGCAUGCCCAGAAAAAAGAGGGUGUAAUAGCAUGCAGUAGGUCUAAAAUACCAUCUUGAAAGUACUGAAGAAUUGGUCUACUCUGUUGCAUUUGUGGAGAAAAUGAAUGAUGCUUUAAUUCUGGUUUGGGCUUCAACUCAGUAAAUUUUUUUGUAUAAGUAAGGAGAAGAUGAGAGCCCGUACAGUCAUAUGGCUCUUGAAAUGUGAUUGUUACAUUAGAAGAUUGUAGUCUUUCACAAAUCUGGGCCUCCACAGAUUUAUUUGAAGGUUCAGUGUGUUAAACUCCAAAUUAGAAAACUAUUUAGAUACAGGAGGUUUUAUGGGGCCUUCUUAAUAACCCAUAUAUUAGGUGGAAAAAAUUAGGCUAAAUAAUGCUGGUUUCAGGUAACUGAGUUAUAUGUCUGUGCUGUCCCAGGUUUUCAUUCACCAUAGAGACUGUACAGACACUGUUUUAUGAUGUAUGGUGUCUGAAAUUAUUGAAGCAAGCUGAUGCAUUCUGGAUGUCAAAUAAGUAAAAAUACAAAUAUGAGGAAAGGUAGUACAACUCCAGGUAGGCACUGGGAGAUAUUUUUGGCUGACAAAUCCAAAUCGUUUUUUCAAAAUAGCUUUGAUUGUUAUGUUCAGCAUAGCCUAGAAUUUUUAAUUUAUGCCCGUUUGCCUUGCCCAAAAGGAAUAAGCCAGCUUUAUGUAGUUGACAGCUUAGCUUUUCAGGCUCUCUGCCUUCUCGCUUUGUCCCUUGCCAUUUGUUCAUGUACAGGUUUGUUUCAAAUUUGUUGAAAGCAGCAAAUUUAUCUUUAGUCAGGUGACACAGUGAAUGAAAUAUUUCCAGCUAUACAUGAGGUUUGAAUUCCGUAAAGAGGUUUUGGUCAAUUAGACCUAAAAGAAACACCUUUAAAAUGUUGUUAAUCAUGCGAAAAUUACUCAAUGGAUUAAAAGUCUUAAUUUUUGGUUUGGGGUUGUUUUAGUUUUAGUAUUGGGUACAAGUGAAAAUCAGUCAUAACAAUGCAAACUUCUGUUCUGAAAGUACUGAAAAUUGUUACCAAACUACUAAUGUGCUUACAAGUUGCAGAAGUAGUUAUUUAGAAUAGUGAAAUUAACUGACAAUAUGCUGUGUAUGACAGCAUGCCUGCCUUUUGAAGAGGACUGAAUAUUAAAUUGCUAUUCUCAUUGAAAUAGCAUAAUAAAAUUUAUUUAAAUUGCAUACCUUAGGUACUUACACACGUUGUCAAAGCUUGUAAGGCAGGCUUUGGUAUUAAUAUUGCACAUGCUAGUGUACAGUAGCUUUGGGGAGUGAUUAUUGAGUUGUCAGCCAAGCAUACUUGCUGUAAUUUUGGGGUAGUUAUAGUAAGUUAUUUAGAAAAUAUUCUUUUGUUAAAUUUCACAGAGGGCAUAAGAAUAAACUGCAGAAAAUACACCAUAAAUAAUCUAAGAAUUAUGUAUCUGUUACCUACAGAAAAGAAAUUUCCCUAGGUGGUCCGUUCCUAUUACUUUUGAGAAUGCUUUCUCAUUUUCUAGGGAAGGACAGAGGUCAGUCUCAAGAGUAUUUCCUUACCUGUAAGAGCAUUGGUUUUAUAUAUAAUAGCAUUAAUUUUCAUUUAGUAUAAGGAUGGCAGAGAAUGGAAUUCUGUGACCACUCGAUUUCCUUUUGGUGUUUAUUUACAUUUUUUAACUCAUGCUUCUUCACAGCAGUCUUGCGAUACAAACAAGUAAGUGAGUCAAUGAUGGCAGCUUGAUUCCUGACUGAUUUAAAUCAAAAACCCUUGUAUCCUUCACGUGGAAACUGAAAGGAUAAGGAACAAAUUCCUUACUGAUGUCAAUGUGUGUGUAAUGGACGGCUAGGUAAGGAUUGCAAAAGCAAAGUAAAAAAAUUAACUGUUUACAAUGAUCUAGUAUGUAAUUGAAUGGAUUUUCUUAUUCAUGAAAUAUUUUUCUCCCA